UGUGGUGUGGGGAGGGAGGGAAGAAGAAAGGGGGUGGAAGGAGGGAGAAGGAGAGAGACACACACACAAAGGGACAAAGACACUAGGACACAGAACUAAAUUUUUUAAAUGCCUUAUAGAAGUAAAGACCAACUUAGUGUGGGAGUGCCUAAAACAGAGACCUGGCUUCCGAUGGGGGGACCAGGGAAAACAGUUACAUUCUGGGCUUGGCUUGAAGGUCAGGGCUGACCUCCACUGUGGCUACUGCGGAAAGGGCAUUCCACCAAGUGCCCAGCAAGCAAGGCAGAGAGCUAUACAAGCAGGAGGCAUGUCUGGGAAGUGGAAGUAAUAGAGUGCAGCCCUGGAGGGGCCUGGCAGGAGCUGCAGGCCCACUGGUAAAUGCCAAGCUCAGUUUUACAUGGUUCUGUUAAGUAACAGGUGACACUAGAUGUUUGACAGGGGACGGGGGAGGUGGGAAUACAACUUUUUUCUUUCUUUUUCUUUUUUUAACUUAAGUACAAAAUUCUGACACCAUGUAAAGAAUAUACCAGAAAGGCAAAAGCCAUGAGAAAGAUCCGUCAGGAGGCUCUGUAAUAAAUCAGAUGAGGGAUGAUAGGGUCUGAUCUCUGGUCCUGGCAUAGGAGAGGUAAAGGAAAGGACAAACAAGACACUCUCUGACAGGACUUAGUAAAUAAUUAAAUGCAAGGAAAAAGGAUGAGUCGUCCAUGACUCAAGCCCUUAAAUUCUACCUGACCAAGGACAUCCAGAAGGCUGAUACUGCAUCUUUUUCUUAGCUUUUAUUAGGACUGGUGUAAAAUUAACAUAUACCUUUACAUCGUAAAUAUUUUUCAUCACUGAUAUGAAGUAUAGGGAAUUGAUUUUCAAAAGGAUAUCAGAUUAUUAACUGUAUCUUUCUUUAGAAUAAAAAUGAAAUGUGCUAUUUCAGCGAGACCCAUGAUAUGGACCUAAAGCACUAUGGUUUUAUUUCUAGCUCAGGCUUCAGCCUUUUUUUCUGUUCAUUUACAUUUAUAAAAAGUAAAAUGAGCUUUAAUUUUUUAUCCAGAGAGUCAAAUGACCUGCACUCACUGAGUGUAUUUGUAUACCUCUCCCACAUUGCCAUGGAUAAUGCAGAAGUACGAUCAAUGCCGAUGCUUAAAAAUCAUUUGCUGAAUGACUACAUUUAAAAUUUCAAGUCAAAUAGAAAUCACCUGUUCCCCAAACCUAUAACUAGCUUUUACUGAUAGAAUUAGACUGCCUGUUAAAUGUAGGUAUGUCAUUGCUACUGUUCAUUAUAUGACAAUUUAAAAUUUUCAUCCAAAAUCUAUUUCCUAUAUAAUUUACCCUCCUCACCAAAUUUGGUUUUCUAAAAAAUUGCUAGCUGCUAUAUCCAAAGCCAAGUCCUCAUUAGCGUUAGUGCUAAGAAUUGCCAUAGAUAGAACAAGAAAAUGUUUGGUAGAUAUUGCAAUGCACUUACAACGUUUCCUUCAAAAGUGACAUGACUAUACGGUCAUUAUAUGUAGAAAUUUUACCUUAUAAUAAUGUUCCUUCUUUGUGUUUUGAUGGAAAACCACUGAUUCUUUCGUCUACUUCUUGUUAGCGAGUGACCUGCUAAUCACAUACAAAAUACAAGUCGAACUUUGAGAUCUGGCCUUUAAAGGCCUUGAUGAUCUGGGUCAACUGACUUUGAAACGUAAUUCCCUCUAACUUGGUCAGUGAUUCCUGAAGAGUGAGGGUUUGUACCACCGGUUAUGCAGGUGCUGAGGAGAAGGGUCACUGGGAAGCUGGGUUUCAGGAGGACUUCAUGGGCAACAAGGCAGGCAGAGUAGGGGGCAAGAUAGGUUGGGGUUAUCUCCUUUCUUUUCUGGAUCCCAGGCUUUGGUGGCAGCUAAGCCCUGGCACGUGCAAGCAUGACAGUGUGCACACAGAGGUUGGCUGGGAUGGUGUCCCUGAGGACUGACCUAGCUGCAGUUACUUCAGAACUAGGGGCUCUGCAAGCCUGUGGCAGAACUGGAGCUCCCAAUUCUGAUUCACUGACUUGGCAGUAAGUGUUUGGGUUGAGUCUGAUACAUCCGAAUUCAAGUUUGAGUCACAUAGUAGCUGAGUGCCUUGGGGUGCCUGGCUGGUUCAGUAGGCACAGCAUGUGACUCUCAUUCUUAGGGUUGGGUGUGGGGCCUACUUUAAAAAAUUUGUAAAAUAAAUUUUUUUAAAUAAAAAAAAUUUAAAAACUGCAUCUUAUAGGAAAAUCUAUUAUAAUAUUAACUACAAUAAGCUGUUUUUUCUAAGUAUUUUUUAUUUGAAUUGAUCCCAUAAAGACGCGAUAACACAUUAUUUGCCCAAAUUUGGUUGUAAGAUUGGUUGUCUAUCAGUGGGCUGUUUCCCUUCUUUCUUAAUUAUAGGUAAGUAUCUCGGCAAUAUACCUAGCUAACAACAUUUCCCAACCAUCCCUACUAGUAAAGACAGCCAAGUGAAAGCUAUUGAAUUGGGCUUUUGGAAAAGCUAUUUAAAGGGGGCUUGCUUUUGCCUCAAUCUCCUCCUUUAAUGGCUGGAGAUGCAGCAGCCAUCUGGUAAUCAGGAGGCAACCUGGUGUUUUAAAGCCACACGUUAAGGGUGGUGGGGCAGAAAGACAGAAGUCUAGUACAUUGAUGGUAUCAUGGAGCCAUUAUACUGGCCCUCGAUUGCUGAACCCAGGACAUUUUUCAAUGCAAAAAACAAACAAACCCUGAUUCGUCGAAACCACCAGUUUAUGAUUGUCCAUUAUAGGCAGUCAAAUGCAAUUCCUGAUUCAUCCAUGUAUAUACACUUUACAGAUAGCACCUAGGUAAUACUAUUUGAGGGGAGAUGAAAAGAUCCCCAGUUUUUUCAAACACACUUUUUUCCUUGGUAUUAUGAAGUAUAUAUUUACUAUAAAGUGUAUCAUGCCAGUAUUAUUCAUUCUUUGCAAAUAGGGAUUAAAAGCAUUCGUUAAAAUGCAAGUGUUAUCUGAGAGGAGUUACACUUUAAGCUCUCAAUAUAAUUGAAUAUCUUGUGAAUUAAUUUAUUAAUUAACUUCCAUGAUUGGGUAGGUUCCAAGGGGAUGGAACAUAAAGACAGAUAAGUUUGAAGACUAGUCCAGAAAAGGAGCAAUGUCAGGCUACUAUAGUAAGAAUCACUACUCCCUUAUCUAGUGCCCUGCCCCCCACCUCCUGACCUCCAUCCCAUGACACAGUUCCCACCCCAAAAAGACUGAUGGGCAGCCUUAGAGGUAGAAAGCACAAGAAACAAAAGGAGAUACAGAACCUGAAGGCAAACUUCUUUAUUAUGUAAGGCUGCCACAACCACCCCUCUGUAUGGGAGUACUUUACCCUAUAAAAAAACUCCACGGUUAACUAAUAAACAGCACUGGUAGAUUAGUCAUUCAGCUGAUAAUUGAGUCACUUCUCUAUCUACCAACUGCUGUGAAAGAAAGGACAAAACUUGUGUCAGGGAGCAGCUAAAGCAUGGGACCAGUUCAAGGGGACUGGAUUUACCUAAAGUUUGAUCUAGUGGACAACCAAUCAUUUCAGGAACUCAAACACCUCUCCAAAUGCUUGUUGUUUUCCAGGCUCUGCGCUAGAAACCAGAGAUUUGGCAGUGAUGAUGAUGAUGUCUUGUCCUCAGAAAACUUAGCAAACUUCUACAGCACAAAGGCAUAGCAAAACUGCAACUAAGUUGAAAGCACACAAUACUGGUUUUGGUUCUCAGUGUCAACAGGCAUGAGGUGAAGGUUUAAAAAACAAAAAAAAGUAACACCCAUGGAAAUUUAUCCAGCUAAAAAUGGUACACCUCUUUCUGAUCUGCUUCAGUGGCCCUUCUGCACAAGUGUGAUUUCUGCCCAGCAUGGUAAGAAACUGUAAACCACAACGGGGCAAGGCCAGGUAAUGAUCGGGCACGUGCCUCGAAGUCAUUGGAUUUGGUUCUGUAAGCAGCUGAAGAGCCCCUGAUGUCAUCAGUUCUACAAGCACACUGGGCUCUCAGUACACAACACCAAGGUCAGCCCCAACUUCCCUCGUCCUACAGUUCCUGCUUGCUCAUCUACUAGGGUUUUUAAGGAAGAUGCCAAGGAAAACUAGGGGAUAUGCCUCCAUGAAGCUACAUUUUUCAUCGUCAGAAGAAUGAAUUUAAAUAAAAGUUGCAAGCCAUCACGUUGUCAGUAAAGCUGCACUGUUUACUUAGGACACAAAUCGUACGCUCCGUUUUGUGACUAGCUUUAAACAAAAGUUAAAAUGAUUCUUCAGCGGCUUGUAUUUCGUUUAAUAUGUAUACUUGGUUCAUUUUCACUCAUUCUUUUCUGCGGGAUUGAGUUAAUGUAGAAGAAAGGACUCUUUUUAAAAAGCAAAAGUAACUUUUUGUUUAAAUUUCAAACCUUAAGUACAUUUAACAUUUUUAAAUUCACAUGGCUUUGGUUCUCCAGUAAUUGUAAAACUGUCAUUGGUUUUACUUAACUCUAAGGCACCUUAACUAAACAGCAAUAACCCAUUCAAGUAUUUUACAUUCUACCUCACUGUAUUUAUGAGAGUUACAUUUUUUCCUACUGUGCUGUUUGUAAUUUUCUUUUGCCUGUACUCAAAACAUAUUUUAAAAUAUAAUUUGGCUAGGGAAUUUCAGGGUAUUUAUUUCCUAAAUACUGGGCUCACAUAAACAUAAGACCGGUUUUAUAUCCUUGCUUAUUUAAUAUCACUCUAGUUUUCUCUAAUUUCUUUGGAUAGUACCAACUUAAAAGCAACUUAAUCAAAUAAAAUUUCUAAGAAUCAAGUCGAUGUUAUUCAAUGUAUUUUUAGUUAAAUUCUGUUAAAUCUUAAUUUUCAGAGUAUGUUUCUGACUUCAGAAUCUUUCAAGGAAACACAUUCUAAUCCAACUCAGGUAAGUUACGAGUUAAAUGUGUACAAUUCAGAAAAGAAAUAUGGCAAGUCACGUAUGUGGCUCAGUCUUAGAGUGAUGUUUACACAGGGGGUCCUGGCUCUGUCUGCACUAUAUUAUGACCCUUGUCAUCGCCUGCCCUGGAGCAGUUACAUAUGUGUCUACUUCUCCCAUUAAGCCAGUCUCUCCUGAAGGGCAGAAGCAAUCUGAAACCUUUGUAUCUUCAGUGAAGCCUCCCACAGCACUUUGCACAAAGCAGACACACAACACAUGUUUGCAAAGCUGUGUCAGAAGAGCAAAGUUCUUGGAUCUCCCUUGACAUACAAGCCCCAUGAAAAAUGAAAGCAAAAGUAACCUAGGUGAAUGGGUUGGGGGGCAGGUGCAGGUGGUAGGGUUAAGAAUGUUAAUAAGCAACCUCAAAUGAAAAUAUUUAAAUGUGAUCUUGCUUAUUAACUUAUCACUAAUCUACUUGUACAAAAGUCGAGAUUUAAAAAAAAAAAAAAAAAGAAAAAAGAAAGGUAAGUUUUCAUCCUUCCCAAAUUAGAAGACAGGGAAGCUUCAUUAUUUGGUUUGAAAGUAUUUUCUGAAUUAUACAUGCCCAUAUGACACAGCCAAUAUUAAGAAUUUGUUCUCCUGGUGUUGCCACUACUGAACAAUGACGAACAGAUCAACAGUACAGGAAUUCCCCAACAAAGAGUGACCCAUUGUGUAGAAAACAGAUCCUAAAACAAGGAACUGUAUUUAGUGUAUGUUCCUACUUUCUGAAUUCUGGCACACCCUUAGUCCCUAGCACCAAAGAGUCAGUCUCUCAGUAAACCUGAAACUAAUCUUUCAAAGGCAAUGUAAUUCAACAAACAUUUAUCGUGCAUCCACUGUAUGCAAAGGCAGUAAGAAUGAAAAUCUGAGGGAAAAAAGGGCCUGCAAAAGAGACUGAGAAGCAAUGAUCAGGAAAGAAGGAAAAGAUACAGGGGAGAGAGGGGGUGAACGGAACCCAAAAGAGCGAGGUGAUUGGUAACCAUUCUCAGAUGUCACAAAGGGUGGAAAGCUGAGACUCCAGAAGAAAAGACAGAAUUCUGUGUAAAUGCAAAAUACUGGGAUCAAUGAACAAAAUGAAGAACUUGUGGAAUCUUCCAUGUUUAGAAUAAUUGUUUUAUGAACCUAUUCCCCAAGAAUAAGUUCCAGUUAUACUAAUGUUACUACCAAUUUCCCUACCAUUCAGGGUUGCAAUUUCUUCCUUUUCCCUCUGAUAACUAAUGUGACCAGUUACCACGUCCUAUCACUCAUACCCACAUGAUUACGGUUGCAGAUAUGGUAGUAUAGGUUGUGUACUGCACAAGAGUGCCACAUCUACAGGGAGGAGUGUUCACAUUACAGAUGCAUAGGUUUAAUUUUCCAGUAGAUGGCAGUCAAGUGUCUUAUUGUAAUUAAGUAAAUAUAUUACAACAAUUUUCUAACAGAUGGAAGUAAAAUGUCUUAAAGACAGGGCAUCUUUUUAAUUCCCAGAAUGCACUGAGCGGGUCAGUGGUAGCUCUGUUCACAAUGCUUCCCACCUGUAUUCUAGUAUUCAUUCUGGCUCCAGCCAUGACAGAUCCGACUCCUAUGACAUCUUUCAAUGGCUUCCACCCUGAUCCCUUAAUUUCUCCACACCUGAGUCUAUCCCAUAAGUAUCUGAAGAGUUUCCCAAAGAAAAGUUCCACUAGUAUAACGUUGCUUUCCCAGAAGCCUUCAGUGGCUCUAUGUCAUAGUCUCUUCAACCUCAUGCUCAAGGCCCUUCAUACUAUGUCCUUAAUCUUCCUUUCCAGUCUAGUCAUUCACUACUAACCAAGAGACACCCUACUCCCAGUCACAACUAAUUACUGUCUGCCUUCCGUAUAUUCUGUCCUUUCCUAUUUUGCUAUCUUUGUCCAUGCCAUUUCCUCUGCCUGGAAUUUUCUCCAAACCCUGUCUUCCUGCUAGAAGUUCUAAAUUACAUUCAGUAGUAUAUUUUGGGAAGAGGUUUUGGAUGACUAAAUACUGUCUUCAGCAAGCAUCAAAACAAACCAAACAAAAGCAAAAAAGAAAGUAUUCCCCUCCUCGGUUUUUGCAGGUAUUCCUGUGAAGUAUUGGUACAUAACAAACUACUCCAAACUUAGCACUUAAAACAAGGACAAUUUCUAUCAUACCUCACAAAUCUGUGGGCCUGAAAUUUGGAAAGAGCUGAGCACUUCUGUUCUCUGUAGUAGUGCGAAUGGUCUCUCAGAUAUUGGUAGUCAGCUGGCAGAUGGGCUAUCUGGAGGGUCCCCACUUCUCCUGCUUGUCACAGACCUACAAGGUCUUCAUUCUUUAGGGCCCAGCUGAAAUUCCCCUUCUCCCAAGAAUGCUUUCCACACCCUUGAGUCAGGUUUAAUCUCUCAUUGCUUCAGAUUUUCUAGUACCCCUUUCUUUGUUAUAGGACUUACACUAGGUUUUCAUUUAUGUAAGAAGAAGAGAGAAAAAGGCCAAGGGAAUAGUAGAAUGCUUUGGUCAUAUGAAUUCUCAUUCAAGUUUAAAGAGGAAACAAAAUAUUCAAUGUGACUCGAACUCUGGAGGAAUCAAAGACAGAGCAUGAGCAGGGGAGGGACAGAGAGAGGGAGACACAGAAUC